rnacentral:ncRNA from 3 species
GGAUUCGAACCCGUGUGCCUCAGAGAGGCAGUAGGUCCCUCGCAGUAACGCUGGAAAGGUCUCGAGCCUA